rnacentral:lncRNA from 1 species
UGAAAUCAAUGUAAUGAAGAGCGCCUUGCUUAAACUGAGUACCUCCACCAGGGAAAGUAAGGUACUCUCCAGUAACUUUGACCCAGUUUUGGUGCCCCUUGACCUUUGCUAGCUUUGCAUGAGGAACAUUAGAGUACCAUAUCUGUUCAACCAAAAAAUGCAAGUUAACCUGGCUUGUCAAAUUACUAUUCAGAAGAAAAACCCUAUGGUAUGCAGAAACAAGAUACCUGCUCCCUACUCCUAGGCCAUCCAAUUGGCUGCUUGUAUCCUGAAGGCAAAGGAACGAGGCAAGUUGGAGCUUCAAUAGGACAGUGCCUCUCACGAUGUUCGUAGUGAGAAGUACUUGGGAGCUUCCUUAUAGCUUCUAGAUUAUCCAGACAGGGAAUAUAAUCUGGUCCAGCGUAAGUUUUACAUAGCUUCCACUUAUCGCCCC